rnacentral:rRNA from 1 species
GAUGAACGCUAGCGGCAGGCCUAACACAUGCAAGUCGAGGGGUAGAGGUUGCUUGCAACCUUGAGACCGGCGCACGGGUGCGUAACGCGUAUGCAAUCUGCCUUGUACUGAGGGAUAGCCCAGAGAAAGUUGGAUUAAUACCUCAAAGUAUCUUUUCCCGGCAUCGGGAGAUUAUUAAAGUUCCAACGGUACAAGAUGAGCAUGCGUCCCAUUAGCUAGUUGGUAUGGUAACGGCAUACCAAGGCAAUGAUGGGUAGGGGUCCUGAGAGGGAGAUCCCCCACACUGGUACUGAGACACAGACCAGACUCCUACGGGAGGCAGCAGUGAGGAAUAUUGGUCAAUGGGCGCAAGCCUGAACCAGCCAUGCCGCGUGCAGGAUGAAGCAUCUAUGGUGUGUAAACUGCUUUUAUACGGGAAGAAACACCGGUUCGUGAACCGGCUUGACGGUACCGUAAGAAUAAGGAUCGGCUAACUCCGUGCCAGCAGCCGCGGUAA